UGGGAAGUGAGGAAUGCUUCUGCCCGGCC
rnacentral:piRNA from 1 species